AGAAGAAAGUUGAAAAACCUGAAAAGGAAAGUAAAGUUCCAACAAGAAAAGAAAGCCUUCAUCUGCACAAUGUGACAAAAGCAGAAAAACCUGAAAAAGUAUCAAGU